UGCAGUCGAGCGAACAGAUGAAGUGCUUGCACUUCUGACGUUAGCGGCGAACGGGUGAGUAACACGUAAGGAAUCUACCUAUAAGCGGGGGAUAACAUUCGGAAACGGGUGCUAAUACCGCAUAAUAUCUUCUUCCGCAUGGAAGAAGAUUGAAAGACGGCUCUGCUGUCACUUAUAGAUGACCUUGCGGUGCAUUAGUUAGUUGGUGGGGUAACGGCCUACCAAGACGAUGAUGCAUAGCCGACCUGAGAGGGUGAUCGGCCACAUUGGGACUGAGACACGGCCCAAACUCCUACGGGAGGCAGCAGUAGGGAAUCUUCCGCAAUGGGCGAAAGCCUGACGGAGCAAUGCCGCGUGAGUGAAGAAGGCCUUCGGGUCGUAAAACUCUGUUAUAAGAGAAGAACAAAUUGUAGAGUAACUGCUACAGUCUUGACGGUAUCUUAUCAGAAAGCCACGGCUAACUACGUGCCAGCAGCCGCGGUAAUACGUAGGUGGCAAGCGUUGUCCGGAUUUAUUGGGCGUAAAGGGAGCGCAGGUGGUUUCUUAAGUCUGAUGUGAAAGCCCACGGCUUAACCGUGGAGGGUCAUUGGAAACUGGGAAACUUGAGUACAGAAGAGGAAUGUGGAACUCCAUGUGUAGCGGUGGAAUGCGUAGAUAUAUGGAAGAACACCAGUGGCGAAGGCGACAUUCUGGUCUGUUACUGACACUGAGGCUCGAAAGCGUGCGGAGCAAACAGGAUUAGAUACCCUGGUAGUCCACGCCGUAAACGAUGAGUGCUAGGUGUUGGA
rnacentral:rRNA from 1 species